UGUAUUAUCUGCAAAAGGUGAAGCAGAAGGUCUCUAGACGACAGGGAUAUUGAGUCAGCAUUUGAAUGUUGAAUAUUGAGGUUCCUGGCUACCAACUUAGUUCCCAGAAUCCAGCAGCCAGGCCUUCUGUUUCUCAGGAGAUUAGAUGAUCCUUCUCCAUGUAAGCUGAUCAACCCAAGUGAAAAGUCCUGAAGAUAUAGAAGGUUUUCCAGCUGUAAGCCCAAACUCUACAGAGAAGUUUACAGUUUAACAAACCUCUACCUCUUCCCUUAGUUUCCCAUCAACAUUUUGUUACCCUAUUUGUAUAAAAGACCAGACACCAAAGAUUAUUAGAUAUAUAACAAAAGCCUCUAUCAUGAAAACAGAAAUCAAAACAAAUGACAAAAAUACUUUUCUCCUACUCAAGGAAAAAAAUUAUCUUUAGGAGAGAGUUGCAACCAUGAAAGACAAGUAAGCAGAAAAAUAUUUUUUAAUAUUUAUUUUUUAGUUGUAGUUGGACACAAUACCUUUAUUUUAUUUAUUUAUAUGUGGUGCUGAGGAUUGAACCCAGGGCUCGCUCAUGCUAGGUGAGCACAUUGUGGCUCAAUGUAAAGAAAAGAAUAUUCAGAAUACAAUAAAAAGCCUUUAGAAUUGAUAAUGCAAUCAUAUAAAUGGUGGAGGGAUGAACUAUUGAAAGAGAGAAAGUUAAGGAAAUUUCCUAGAAAUUAGAGCAAAAAGAAAGAUCUAAUUUAGGAUAUUCAAAGUCCACAAAGUAACAGAGAAAUUGGGGGUUGAGGGAGUAAGGCAGGAAGAGAAAGAGGGAAAAAAUCAUUAAUUAAGAGAGAAAAAAAAAAGGGAAAAAAGUCAUUAAUUAAAUAAUCUAAAAAAAAUUCCCAGAACUGAAAUACAUGAGUCACCAAGUUGAACAAGUUCAUUAAAUGUCUACUACAAUGUAUAAAAAUAGAUCAGCUGGUUAUGGUGGCACAGGCCUGUAAUCCCAACGGCUCAGGAGGUUGAGGCAGGAGGAUGGCAAGUUCAAAGCCAGCCUCAGCAAUUUAGUGAGGCCCUAACCAACUCAGUAAGAUCCUCUCUCUUAAUAAAAUACAAAAUAGGGCUGGGGGUGUGGCUCAGUGGUCAAGUGCCCCUGAGUUCAAUCUCCAAUACUGAAAAAUAAAACAAAAUAAAAAUAGAUCAACUUGAAAACGUGAUCCAGAAAUCUGAGCACAUAGCAGACAAAGAAAAGAUCUUCAAGCUUCCAGAGAGAACGCAAAAAAAAGGACUAAAACUCAGAUUUGGGACCAGUAGCAUGUCAAUGACCUGGCAACUAGUUAGGAAGUUAAAUUCUUGGACUUCAUCCUAGAACUACUCAGUUAAUGAAACUUCAUCCAUCUCAGAAACUCUGAGAGUGGGACUGGCUAUCUGUUUUGUAAUAUGUUCUUCCUGUGAUUCUGGUGCACACUACAGUUGGAGAAACAGUGCCCUCAGAAUAGUGACUCUCCAACUAGUACUCAGGAUAAUUAAGUUGAACAUGAAUUGGACUGCCAGCAUAUAUUACCUUAAAUAGAUAUAGACCAUUGGAGCAAGUACUUAAGAAGAUACUGUAAUGCUAAAAGGAAUAAAAAUAUAUUUGAAUAAACCACUUUCAAAUGAUUGCUGAAAGAAAACGUUAUGAAAAGCCCAGG
rnacentral:lncRNA from 1 species